rnacentral:rRNA from 1 species
UGGGGAAUUUUGGACAAUGGGGGCAACCCUGAUCCAGCCAUCCCGCGUGUGCGAUGAAGGCCUUCGGGUUGUAAAGCACUUUUGGCAGGGAAGAAACAGCCUGGGCUAAUAUCCCGGGCGACUGACGGUACCUGCAGAAUAAGCACCGGCUAACUACGUGCCAGCAGCCGCGGUAAUACGUAGGGUGCAAGCGUUAAUCGGAAUUACUGGGCGUAAAGCGUGCGCAGGCGGUUCGGAAAGAAAGGUGUGAAAUCCCAGGGCUUAACCUUGGAACUGCACUUUUAACUACCGGGCUAGAGUACGUCAGAGGGCGAUAGAAUUCCACGUGUAGCAGUGAAAUGCGUAGAGAUGUGGAGGAAUACCGAUGGCGAAGGCAGCCCCCUGGGAUGAUACUGACGCUCAUGCACGAAAGCGUGGGG